CCAUGAAAGGCCAUGUGAGCACACAGCAAGAUGAAAUCUUCCAUCUGCAAGCCAGGAAGAAAGCCUUCACUAGAACCUAACCAUUAUGGAACCCUAACCUUUGACUUCCCGCCUCCAGAUUGCCAGAAAAUGUCUGUUGUUUAAUCUACACUGUUUAUGGUAUUUUAUUACAGCGGCCCAAGUAGACUGAGACAACUGGAGAGCUACUUUGUUUCCUGUGUGUAUGUGUUUUCAGUUCAGCUUUUAUUUGCUUUUCUUUCUCUUUCCCCUCUCCUUGCUCCCUUUCUCUUUCCACUUUCCCACUUUUUUUUUUUUUUUUUUUUCUUAAAAUUAGACCCAAAAACCUGUCCUUGAGACAGCCAAGUUGGCCUUUAAGGGCAGCGUUUACAUGACUUCCAGUCUUUUCUUAAUUGACUAUCUCUGAAAAAUGUAGUAGGCCACUUUAAUUUUCAUACUUUUAGUCUUUCUUCCCACAUAUUGCAGCAUCACACCUUCUAUUCCUCAAUGCCUCUUGUCCUCCUUGCCCAACAUGUUCAGAAUCUAUGCUAAAGAAAGGGCUGUUCCUAUGUGAGUGCAUGCUAUGUGCAUAAGAGAAUGGUACUUUCUCAUUGCAGAGAAAAAUAGAUAAAUAAAUAAAACCUUUUUCCUCUCUUGUGGGCUGAAAUAUGUUCUCCCAAAAUUUACAUAUUGAAGCCCUGAUCCCUAGUACCUCAGAAUGUUACUGCAUUUGUAGGUAGUACAUUACAGAAGGUAAUAAAGUUAAAAUUAGGCCAUAGUGUGAGUCUUAAUGGUAUCUCACUAGUGUCCUUACAAGAGAAGAUUAGGGUUUACAGAGAAACACUAAGAUUUCACAGGCACACACUAAGAAAAAAAGACCAUAUUAAGGGACAGUGAGAAGAUGGUCAUUUCCAAGUGAAGGAGAGAGGCCUGAAAAGAAACCAAACCAGCUGAUACCUUGAUCUUGGACUUCCAGCCUCCAAAAUAAAUUUGUACAGUUUAAGCCCAUCUUGUCCAUGCUAUAUUGUUACAGCAGCAUGCGCAAACUAGUACCUCCUUUUUAAGGCAUUUGGAACAUUGAUGAGAGAGGGGUGUGAUUUUUGAGGGCAGAAAAUCUCAGCACGUUUGAUAUCACAUCAGUAAACAAUAAUCUACUCUACAUUGGCUUUGAUGAGCAAGUAGGAUUUUUAUUCUAGUUUGGCUUAGAAUCAUAAAAUCAUAAUAACCUUAGAUACUACCUAUUUCAAUCUCCUCAUUUUAUAUGUAAUGAUACAGAGGUGCAUAUGGAAGAACUGACUUGUCCAAAGCCCCACAUUAGUUUUUGAUCAAGUCAGGACUACAGUUCAAAUACUUCAACUUCCAGUGCUCUUUUUGGCUACUGUAUAAAAUGUCAUAUCUCAUUUUUAUGUUUUUCCAUCAAUUCUGUUGUAUUUACUAACCAUCAUAGUCUAAGCAUUUACCUUUUCAAAAUAUUUUUGUUUUCUCUCAAGUAUUUAUUUUGGAAUACAUAUUUUUUCUACCUGAGUUUACUAUCUUGUAGGCUGAAAGAUUUUCAGGGAAUACACCAACAAGUUUUUCCACUUCUUGGAUUCUUUUCCUCAGUUUUUAAAUUAUGAUGGUUUUCACCUAUGCUUCCCAGCUCCAUUAAAAAGUUGGUUUUGCUGAAAUAAACCUG
rnacentral:lncRNA from 1 species